AGAGUUUGAUCCUGGCUCAGGACGAACGCUGGCGGCGUGCCUAAUACAUGCAAGUCGAACGAAGCUUUCUUUCACCGAAUGCUUGCAUUCACCGAAAGAAGCUUAGUGGCGAACGGGUGAGUAACACGUAGGCAACCUGCCCAAAAGAGGGGGACAACACUUGGAAACAGGUGCUAAUACCGCAUAACCAUGAACACCGCAUGAUGUUCAUGUAAAAGACGGCUUUUGCUGUCACUUUUGGAUGGGCCUGCGGCGUAUUAACUUGUUGGUGGGGUAACGGCCUACCAAGGUGAUGAUACGUAGCCGAACUGAGAGGUUGAUCGGCCACAUUGGGACUGAGACACGGCCCAAACUCCUACGGGAGGCAGCAGUAGGGAAUCUUCCACAAUGGACGAAAGUCUGAUGGAGCAACGCCGCGUGAAUGAAGAAGGCCUUCGGGUCGUAAAAUUCUGUUGUCAGAGAAGAACGUGCGUGAGAGUAACUGUUCACGUAUUGACGGUAUCUGACCAGAAAGCCACGGCUAACUACGUGCCAGCAGCCGCGGUAAUACGUAGGUGGCGAGCGUUGUCCGGAUUUAUUGGGCGUAAAGGGAACGCAGGCGGUCUUUUAAGUCUGAUGUGAAAGCCUUCGGCUUAACCGAAGUAGUGCAUUGGAAACUGGAAGACUUGAGUGCAGAAGAGGAGAGUGGAACUCCAUGUGUAGCGGUGAAAUGCGUAGAUAUAUGGAAGAACACCAGUGGCGAAAGCGGCUCUCUGGUCUGUAACUGACGCUGAGGUUCGAAAGCGUGGGUAGCAAACAGGAUUAGAUACCCUGGUAGUCCACGCCGUAAACGAUGAGUGCUAAGUGUUGGAGGGUUUCCGCCCUUCAGUGCUGCAGCUAACGCAUUAAGCACUCCGCCUGGGGAGUACGGUCGCAAGACUG
rnacentral:rRNA from 1 species